rnacentral:rRNA from 1 species
UACGUAGGGUGCAAGCGUUGUCCGGAAUUAUUGGGCGUAAAGAGCUCGUAGGCGGUCUGUCGCGUCGGAUGUGAAAACCCAGGGCUCAACCAUGGUGGUCUGCAGUCGAUACGGGCAGGCUAGAAUUCGGUAGGGGAGACUGGAAUUCCUGGUGUAGCGGUGAAAUGCGCAGAUAUCAGGAGGAACACCAAUGGCGAAGGCAGCUCGCUGGGACGGUACUGACGCUGAGGCGCGAAAGCGUGGGGAGCAAACAGG